AGUGAACGCUGGCGGUAGGCCUAACACAUGCAAGUCGAACGGCAGCACAGUAAGAGCUUGCUCUUACGGGUGGCGAGUGGCGGACGGGUGAGGAAUACAUCGGAAUCUACUUUUUCGUGGGGGAUAACGUAGGGAAACUUACGCUAAUACCGCAUACGACCUACGGGUGAAAGCAGGGGAUCUUCGGACCUUGCGCGAUUGAAUGAGCCGAUGUCGGAUUAGCUAGUUGGCGGGGUAAAGGCCCACCAAGGCGACGAUCCGUAGCUGGUCUGAGAGGAUGAUCAGCCACACUGGCACUUAGACACGGUCCAGACUCCUACGGGAGGCAGCAGUGUGGAAUAUUGGACAAUGGGCGCAAGCCUGAUCCAGCCAUACCGCGUGGGUGAAGAAGGCCUUCGGGUUGUAAAGCCCUUUUGUUGGGAAAGAAAAGCAGCAGGUUAAUACCCCGCUGUUCUGACGGUACCCAAAGAAUAAGCACCGGCUAACUUCGUG
rnacentral:rRNA from 1 species